CAAAAUAAUUCACUUAGCGCCCAUCUCCCUACUCAUUUCCCCCUUUUCACUAUGAGAAAAACCUCUCAAACCUAAAAAUUUCAGACCUGUUUUCAGACCCACAAAUUGAAUCUCUGUCGACGAUUGUUGUUUACUCACCUCAUUUCUUUUCUCCUCUCUUCUCUCAAAUCCCCAAGCUUUCCCUGUAAUUCGAAACCCUAAUUUUGCCUCUCAAUCUCAAAAAAUACCAACUUUUUCUGAAAUUCGAAGACUUGAGCCGUGUAAAGUAAGAAGAUUGAAGAAAAAAUCAAUUUCUUUACAAAGUAGUGAUUCUUGGAUCUCGUCUUUUUUUAUGGACACAAUUAGGGUUUGCACGGAGGUUCCAAAAUCUUUGAAAUCAACUGCCCCGUCGUUCACAGAGUCACCUUUUGCACCGAAACCAUCAAUGGCUCCAACGAAUUCAAGAUCAGUGGCUACUCUUUGGCGACAUCGUGCGGUCAACUACCUCAGAUACACAAUCUCUUCUCAAAGCUCAGACCUUUUCUUUCUCUCUCCUUGCCGUCUUUUACAGCCCCGUUUUGGUGCUCUGCCGACAAUGAAGGUUGGGUUUUUCUAUCAUUUCUCUAAAUUUCAAACUUUAUUUUGUGUGCAUCUCUGUUUUUUAUUUCUACAAAUUGAAUUUUUCUUAUCUUUGUUUCUGGGUUGCUCUUGAUUCAGCUUUUAUUGGUGAAGUGGAUACACAAUUUUAGGAUUUUAUUGUUUUAAAUCUCAUUUGAAGUUUAGGCGAUUGUUGGAUUUGAUUGUUCAUAGCUUAUACAAUCACAAUGAGAGGCUCUUGAGUGUGAUGGAACGUUUUUUGAUUGAAGAUGGUGGAGAGCUUGAGAUUAGGAUUAAGCUUGAUCCUGUUUACGGCAGCAUCACCAUAAUUAAUACUGUUUUUGGAAUGACAAAGACAGAACUUAUAUAUAUUGUUCUCGCCUUCUCGGAGGAUUGAUGAUUGUUUUUGGACGUGACAGGGUAUGGUGGUGGAUACAACUUGUUAUUGUCUUAUGAAUAUGGCAAAAUCGAUCAAAAGCUGUCUCUGGAAAGUCAAAUCAUUCCGUUUAGAUACACCACUUGAACAUAGAAAGUGCAUCAUCUGUCAAGACGAAUAUGAGGCAAAUGAUCAGAUUAAAAAUUUGUCCACGAGAAAUUUUUCAUACACAUGCUUAUUGGGAUUAUGCACGGGAAUGCUAACCGGAAGGCGAAACACAUAGAGGAGACGAGAUUGAAGUUUGUCUUGUUAUGAUGUUCGCUUUAUUUUGUUUAAAAUUUGGUAUGAUGUUAUGUAAAAAAGGAUAAUGUAAUAAUACGAUUAUGUAUGUUGAUGAUUUAUGAAAUAUAAAAUUUAUAUUAUAAAUC